GUCUGUCUGUCUAUCUAUCAACUAUCUACCUAGGAACACUGGGUCACCGGUGCUAUUUAAUUCCUCAUUCAUUUGGCAAAUGAGAUGUUCUGGGUAUUGAGGAAGCAAUCUGUUCUCUUGUAGUUCACAUUUUAGCUGGGGAAGGGAGAGGCUGGCCAUAAACUUGUAAAACUAAAUACAAAUUUCAAGUAGUGGUAAGUGACGAUAAGAAAUAAGACAGUGCUGGUGUACAGUGACCGAGUCGGCUGCUGGAGACUGAAUGGUCCGUGGCACGCUCUCUGAGGAGGUGCUUUCCAGGCUGAGGUACAGGGAGGAGACGGAGCCUCUCCUGUGACGCCGCGGGAAGGGAGUGUCCCAAGCAUCCCAGCAGUGCGUGCAGACUGUGAGGCAGGGACACAGCUGGGUGUUUGAGUAACAGAGCGUGAUCGCUUCUCGGCCAAAGUGUAGUAACGGAGCGUGAAUGGAACACAGUGAUCAGAGCGCACGGUGAGGGACGGAAGGCGGACCCGGUCGGCACGCAGCCAGUUUAUGCAGAGGCUGGCUGCUCUGGUGCUUGGAGACAACGUGGGAAGGAGGGCGAAUUUUACUCAAGGUGAGAAACUCUCAGAGUACUUUUGAACAGAACAGAUAGGGUCUGAUUUCUAUCGGAAAGGAAGCAUUCUGGCUGCUGCACGGAGAACGAAGAAUGAGGAUGGGCUGACUGGUAGGAAGCUGGUGCGGCAUCAGAGCGAGUUUAUGACGGCCCCGAGGAGCAAGGCAGCCGUGGAAGAGACAAGUGGCGAACUUAGGUCCUGGAGAGCAAAGCCCGGGCGCUGGGCGUGCUAGGCGAGUGCUCUACCACUAGCUACCCCCACCCCUGAACACUUCUGAAUGCUGAGGAUCGCUGGGUGCUCCUCAUGGAGCGUACAUUCCAGUGGAGGAAGAAGCAAAUACCGAGGGAGUCAGAGAGUGGAAAGAACUGUGGAGAAAAAUGAAGCAUGGAUGAGUAAGGUUAGGACAGACAGAAUGGGACAAAGUACACAGAGUGCCCUGGGCAGAGGGAACUCGGGAAGCGUGUCCACGUAUUCAAAGGGUAUAGGGCAACCUGCAUGAAGAGAGCAAGGGAGAGAGAUGGAGGGCUGAUGGGCAGAGGGCCAGAUAGAGUAGGGCCCUAUGAACCAGUGACCAUAUAUAAUUUCGCAUCCAGGUUGGGAGACUUAAUUUAUCUUUUUACUUUAGUUUUUGAGACUGGUUCUUGCUAUGUUGCCCCGGCUGGAGUCAAAUUUCUGGGCUCAAAUAAUCCUCCUGCCUCAGCCUCCCAAGUGACGUGCCUAGAGACGUGCCCAUCCUGCCCAGCGACACUGGGAGACUUGGAGAGUGAAAGGUGGGAGAAGGGCUAUGGAUAAUUACACUGUGUCAAUAAAUACAAAUUGGGACCCUCCUGGAUCAAGAGUGAUGCGUAGUCCUCCUACUUACAGGCCAGUGUGAGGCAUUGUGCUCUUUUUUUGCUUGUUUGUUUUUGAGACAGGGUUUCACUAUUAGUUCAGGCUGACCUUGAACUCACUGUGUAGCCCAGGUUGGCCUUGAAUUUACAACAAUCCUCCUGCCUCAGCCUCCCUAGAGCUGGGAUCACAGGGCUCCGCUACCAUGCCCAGCAGGCACUGUACUUUUAAAAAAUCUAAAAUAGGAAGCUGCUGGAAGUUUCUGAGCAGAAAAGCAUCAUGAUCUGAUUGAGGUGACUCUGCCACAGAGACAGUAGGUCAAAGGGGAGCAGCCCAAGAAUGAGCAAGAAGGGACCUGUUAGGAAGCCAGCAGAAUCCAGCCAAGAAGCCAGAGUCUAGAUAUGUUGAAAUUAUGGCCAAAGAUGUACGGGCAAGUUGGAUUUGGGCUAUGGGGAGAAAGAACAAAAACAAACAAACAAAAACAGUGCAGUUGCCACUUUUUGAGAUGGAGAUGACUUUAGGUAGAGACGAUGAGGACAGGCAAUUAUGCAAUUACGUACCAGUCAAAUUUGGACUGCUCGAUUUGAGAUGUGUAGCAUGCACUCAAGGGAGGAUAUACUGAGUGCGCAGUCUGUGAGCUUAUUUUCAUUUGGUGGUUGUCAAUGUGGAGGUGAUAUUUAGAACCAUGAGACUGGGUAUUCAAAAGAGGAAGAGAACCAAACACUAAGUUCUGAGCACUCCAGUGCUAAGCAGUCAGGGAGACAAGAAAGGACAGAGAAGAUGGGGAAGGAGCAGCUACUGAGGUGAACGGGAAACCCAGCAAGUGUGGGGUCCGAGAAAGCAUUUCCUGGAAGACAGAGAACUGGAUUCAUCAAACGCCUGGAGAGCUCAGGUAAGAGGAGGACUGGAGUAAUCAUUAAACUUGGAAACAUGUAGGUCACUGGGGAACCAGAGAAAACUUCCUAGUGAAAAGUGGGGGCUAAAGCCUAUGUGUAAUGGGUUCCAGAGAAAACUGGAAGGCAAAAAAUUGGAAGCAGCAGUCUAGAGCCAUCUUUCGAGGAGUUUCACUGUAAGAGGACAGAGAGAAACAAGGCAGCAGCCAAAGGCAGCAGUGGGGUUGACAGAACUUUUCAGCACUGUAGAGGAACGGCUGCCUGCCCGCUGAACGAGGAGGAUCCACCCGCGAGGGAGAAGACUGAGGACGGAGAAGUCGGGAGCAGGUCCUGGAGUGGGUCAGGGCUGGGAGAAGAGCCAGGGAGGACUACAAGUGCAUAGGGGUUGAGGGCCCAUGCUAGGGGGACCAAACGCUGAUCUUAAACAAUGGAGGAAAGACAGGAAGUGAGGCACAUGGGCCAGGGGGGACGGGAAGGGCUUCUGGAUGAUGUUCUUUCCCCUUGCUUCUAGUUUCUAGUGCAGCAGGAAGCAAAAGCCCAGAUGUGGGUGAGUGUGGCACAGAAGGUGUUGGGCUUGUGAGCUUGUGAAGAAAAGGUCAUCCCAAAUAGGGAAUGGACCAGGGCUCUCGGGUCCUCUGGAAGUUGCUGAUGGUGAAAGUGAAGCUGGUCACCAGGUUUGCGUACUUUUUUCCAGUUUCACUCAGCUGGGCAGGUGAAGGGAAAAGAUGUGUGUAGGUAGGACCGAACUGGAGUCAGGUCAUCCUUCGUCCGAGAGGUAAGUUGGAUUAAGAAAUUAAGGAGGCGGGGGAUUUAGCUCAGUGGUUUUGCCUCCUGCUACGCAAGCACAAGGACCUGAGUUUGAUCCCCGGUACCAAAAAAAGAAAAAGAAAUUAAGGAAUUUGAUCAUAAUAAUUAAGCAUGAAAUUUAAACUCGACAAGAAAGGAAGUGAGGAUACGUGAGAGCAGAGAUAGAGAAAACACUUGCUCCAGGCAUGUUGCGGACACUAUGCAUUCAUUAUCUCACGGAAUUACUCCCAAUAUGGACAAAGAAGCUGAAGUUCAUGAAGAAAUAACUGGCUGAAGGCCACACAGCUGGUAAGUGACAGACCCAAGGCUGUCUCCGAAGGCUACUUAGCCCUCCUACUAUCUGCUUUAACUGGAGCAUGAAUGAGCAUCUUAAAACUUACUACCUAUGUUUGUUUAUUUAUUUAUUUAUUUAUUUGGAACUGGGGAUCGAACUCAGGUCCUUGUGUUGGCAAGACAGGCAGCGUAACCACUGAGCUAAAUCCCUGGCCUAAAACUUACUACCUAUGACCAAGACAUAAUAUGUAUAUAUACUGAUUCCCCAAGAUAAACAUAAUCUAUGUACCAUAAACAUAUACUAAUAAAAAGUUUUUUAAUGGUGCAUAUACAGAAAGGUAACUUGGCUCAAUAUUUUUGGUUCAGUGCUUGCUUUGGCAGCACAUAUAAUAUUUUUGGUUCAUAGUUUUCCAAUUUCUGUUAAUUUUAAGAUUUUCUGAUGUAUAGAUUUCUUUAAAAGUUCAUAAUAAAAUCUAUUUAUUUUAUCUUAUGUUUAAUUCCCAGAAGAGAUACUAUGAAUUUAAAAAGCAGGGGGUUUUUUGGUACCAGGGAUCGAACUCCAAACCUUGUGCUUUUCAGGCAGGCGGCAGAACCACUGAGCUAAAUCCCUGGCCCUUAAAAAGCAGUUUUAAAAAUUAGCAGUUUAAAAAAAAAAAAAAUUAGCAGUUUAUUUGAAUUUAAUCAAAUAUCUAUUCUGAUGUGUGUUGUCUAAUUGGUCUUUGAACUAGCAGAGACACAAUCAUUUGUGCACUUGUUUACUUUUGUAAACAUUGUCUCUUAGCUGGGCGUGGUGGUGCACACCUAUAAUCCCAGCACUCAAGAGGUUGAGGCAGGAGGAUCAUAGCAUGUUUGAGACCAGCCUGGGCUACAUAGUAAGAUCCUGGUUUUUUAAAAAAAGUCAUCUUUUACUAUUACAGAGUCCCCACACAAACAGCAAUACAAGUUAAAUAACAUACCCCUGGGCCAGCGAUUUUAGCUCAGUGGUUCUGCUGCCUGCCUCGAAAGCAUAAGGUCUCAAGUUGGAUCCCUGGUACCCCCCCCCCCAAAUACGCACCCUUACUUUUUAUAUUUACAAAAACUUUAAGAGCAUUUAAUGUUUAGGUGCAUAAAAAUUAAAAUGUCUACCCAUUAAACAACAUUUCCAAGCCAGGUAUGGUGGCGCACACCUGUGAUCCUAGUACUAGGGAGGCUGAGGCAGGAGGAUCAGUGUGAGUUUGAGGCCAGUCUGGACUAAAUAAUAAGUUCAAGGCCAGCCUGAACUGCAUAGUGAGACCCUGUCUUAAUGCCCCUCCCCAACCCCAAAAAACAUUUCAACCAAGUUAGAGUUAUAUUUUAUUUUGUUUUUGUUUUUUUGGUACUAGGGACUGAACUCCAGUCCUUGCGUUUGCGAGGCAGUCGGCAGAACCACUGAGCUAAAUCCCCGGCCCCUAGAGUUAUAUUUUAGUGAAGAUAAACAUCAAGUGGCUAUUACCAUGGAAGCACUAUGCUGAACAGCACUAGGGAAGAGGAAAAGAUGAGCCAGGUAGGUGCCUGGCCUCCCAGAGCCGAGAGCCACCUACAAGGACAACUGAGCAAGGGUGACAAGUCCUAGACGAGCACAGAGGAGAGGCAUGAGCAGCCCCUGCUAGUCUAGUGGGAAGAGUUUAAGGACAGCUUCUUAGGAGGCUCCACGGUCUGCUCCCCGCACCCAGGCGGCAUGGCGGCUGGCGGGCUGGUGCAGAGGCAUCUAGACCAGCUGCAGGCCAGGCACCUGCCCUGCCAACCGCUGAGCAUGAUAUCGUGCAGGGAUUAAAGCAACAAUCCAAAAUGAGAAUCAGUGUGUCAGUGUCUAAGAUAGAAAAUGUGGACGACAUAGGGAAAAUAUCCAGAGAGAACCGGCAGAGCUGAGCAGCUUAUUGAGAUGUUACAGCAAUGGUAAUCGCUUUUAGGAGGCGAUGCCAAUAACAAGCAGCGUGUCAAAACUAGUGGCUUCCCUGCCCAGGGGAGGCUGUAUCUCUGGAUAUGAUCGAGGACGAGUCCCUCGCCACAGGGCUGCUCUGCAGAAGCCACUUGAAAGGACAGCACACUGCUCCAGGCCUGCAGCAGUAACUGGGCUAAGUGAUCUCAGCCUGCCUAGCAGUAUAUUAUCCUCUCAGUGGCUUCCACCUUCUGCUUUGGACACUGCUCACUCUGGCUCUGAGGUUCUGCCAUUGCACAGGAUACACGGAAUGAGGUGUGCAGGAAGGUACGUGCUCGGGAAAGGAACAGUUUUAAACUUUGGCAGCCUUCUUUCUCAGCGCUCGCUCCUCUCAGCUGUGGGGCAUGCAAGCAUUCUCUACCCAUCUAACUGGUUUGUCCAGUUUUCCUGAUUUUUCUUUUUCCUGGCAAAAUAUAUCAUAUUGUAAGCUAGUUUUAGGAAACAGAAGGCUUUGUCACAUGCUCUUAAAAAAAAAAGCAUAGCAGACAGGGACCAUUCAAUAGGCUUUGAGGCACAACUGCUGCAAUUGUAGCUAGAUAAUUUAGGACUCCUUCUUGAAGGCAGAUAAGCUACAGAAACUUAUUUAUUAAUCUCUUGCUGCAUUUCACGUGCAGAACACUAUUUAUAUCCGCCAUUGUGAUAUAAUAUGAAUAUAUUUGAUUUUCAUCCCUGGUUCUUAUCUUAGAGCUCCUAAAUCCACUGGAAUUUCCUGACUAGAAAGGAGUUCUUUUGUUAUUCAUCAUAAACUCCUUUGGUAACUUUAUACUAAUUACUUAUGCUGUGGCCUCAGGAAGGGACCCACCACCAGAAGACCAAGUGACAGAAGAUAAAAGGACUGGAACUUUCAACUCACCCACUGACCUCUGGGAUGGGGGUGCCGGAGAGCAAGCUCUGUCCAACUCCUGAUGGUGAUCUGAAGAGCUUUUGGGAUAAGGUGCACAGAGAACUCACACAAAUCCAAAAGAAAGAAGAUGAAAAGACCAGUAGAAGAGUGGGCAGUGUGCAGUCGGCUCACUGAACAGUAAAUGGAUUGGCUAAAACUCAAUGAAAACAUGCUCGAUGGCAUUUAUAAUUAGGGAAAGGGCAACAAAGGCAACAGUGAUGUGCAUUUUUCAUAUGAUGGGUUACCAACUAUGUAAAAAUUGGCUAGUUCCCAUUGAUGGGAAGGAUAUGGGGAGACAACCACUCUCACUAUUGAUAGCUGGAUUGAAAGUGGGUACAAUAUUUACAGUUCAAUUUGGGAAUAUUUAGGAAGUUAUAAAAAGGUGUUCUCUGUUCCA